AUUGAACGCUGGCGGCAGGCCUAACACAUGCAAGUCGAGCGGAUGACGGGAGCUUGCUCCUUGAUUCAGCGGCAGACGGGUGAGUAAUGCCUAGGAAUCUGCCUGGUAGUGGGGGACAACGUUUCGAAAGGAACGCUAAUACCGCAUACGUCCUACGGGAGAAAGCAGGGGACCUUCGGGCCUUGCGCUAUCAGAUGAGCCUAGGUCGGAUUAGCUAGUUGGUGAGGUAAUGGCUCACCAAGGCGACGAUCCGUAACUGGUCUGAGAGGAUGAUCAGUCACACUGGAACUGAGACACGGUCCAGACUCCUACGGGAGGCAGCAGUGGGGAAUAUUGGACAAUGGGCGAAAGCCUGAUCCAGCCAUGCCGCGUGUGUGAAGAAGGUCUUCGGAUUGUAAAGCACUUUAAGUUGGGAGGAAGGGCAGUAAGUUAAUACCUUGCUGUUUUGACGUUACCGACAGAAUAAGCACCGGCUAACUCUGUGCCAGCCGCCGCUGUAA
rnacentral:rRNA from 1 species